CUGAUCGGCCACAUUGGGACUGAGACACGGCCCAAACUCCUACGGGAGGCUGCAGUAGGGAAUCUUCCACAAUGGGCGAAAGCCUGAUGGAGCAACGCCGCGUGUGUGAUGAAGGCUUUCGGGUCGUAAAGCACUGUUGUAUGGGAAGAAAAGUUAAGGUAGGGAAUGACCUUAGCCUGACGGUACCAUACCAGAAAGGGACGGCUAAAUACGUGCCAGCAGCCGCGGUAAUACGUAUGUCCCGAGCGUUAUCCGGAUUUAUUGGGCGUAAAGCGAGCGCAGACGGUUGGUUAAGUCUGAUGUGAAAGCCCGGAGCUCAACUCCGGAAAGGCAUUGGAAACUGGUUAACUUGAGUGCAGUAGAGGUAAGUGGAACUCCAUGUGUAGCGGUGGAAUGCGUAGAUAUAUGGAAGAACACCAGCGGCGAAGGCGGCUUACUGGACUGUAACUGACGUUGAGGCUCGAAAGUGUGGGUAGCAAACAGGAUUAGAUACCCUGGUAGUCCACACCGUAAACGAUGAACACUAGGUGUUAGGAGGUUUCCGCCUCUUAGUGCCGAAGCUAACGCAUUAAGUGUUCCGCCUGGGGAGUACGACCGCAAGGUUGAAACUCAAAGGAAUUGACGGGGACCCGCACAAGCGGUGGAGCAUGUGGUUUAAUUCGAAGCAACGCGAAGAACCUUACCAGGUCUUGACAUCCUUUGAAGCUUUUAGAAAUAGAAGUGUUCUCUUCGGAGACAAAGUGACAGGUGGUGCAUGGUCGUCGUCAGCUCGUGUCGUGAGAUGUUGGGUUAAGUCCCGCAACGAGCGCAACCCUUAUUGUUAGUUGCCAGCAUUCAGAUGGGCACUCUAGCGAGACUGCCGGUGACAAACCGGAGGAAGGCGGGGACGACGUCAGAUCAUCAUGCCCCUUAUGACCUGGGCUACACACGUGCUACAAUGGCGUAUACAACGAGUUGCCAACCUGCGAAGGUGAGCUAAUCUCUUAAAGUACGUCUCAGUUCGGACUGCAGUCUGCAACUCGACUGCACGAAGUCGGAAUCGCUAGUAAUCGCGGAUCAGCACGCCGCGGUGAAUACGUUCCCGGGUCUUGUACACACCGCCCGUCACACCAUGGAAGUUUGUAAUGCCCAAAGCCGGUGGCCUAACCGUAAGGAGGAACC
rnacentral:rRNA from 1 species